rnacentral:rRNA from 1 species
UACAGAGGGGGCAAGCGUUAUUCGGAAUUAUUGGGCGUAAAGGGCGCGUAGGCGGCCUGGCAAGUGGAAGGUGAAAUCCCUCGGCUUAACCGUGGAACUGCUUGGCAUACUGGCGGUCUUGAGCAACCUAGGGGCGAGCGGAACAAAUGGUGGAGCGGUGAAAUGCGUAGAUAUCAUUUGGAACGCCAAUGGUGAAAACAGCUCGCUGGGGGUUUGCUGACGCUGAGACACGAAAGCCAGGGGAGCAAACGGG